rnacentral:rRNA from 1 species
AUAAGAGGUCCCACCUGCCCUGUGACUCUAAGUUUAACGGCCGCGGUAUUCUAACCGUGCGAAGGUAGCGCAAUCAAUUGCCUUUUAAAUGAAGGCCUGUAUGAAUGGUAUAACGAGGGUCUAGCUGUCUCUUUUUUCUAGUCAGUUAAACUGAUCUGUCCGUGCAGAAGCGGACAUAAAUAUACAAGACGAGAAGACCCUAUGGAGCUUUAGACACUAGCCAACUGUGAAUAAGCGACUGAACUGAACAAGUCCUAAAUACCCGCAGCCUUAUGGUGAUGUAGUCUUAGGUUGGGGCGACCACGGGAGAAAGUAAAGCUCCCAAGCAGACCGGGAAAACCCUUAAGCCGAGAGUUGCAACUCUAAGCCGCAAAAUUUUUGACUGAAAUGAUCCGGUUGAAAAACCGAUUAACGAACCAAGUUACCCUAGGGAUAACAGCGCAAUCCUCUCCCAGAGUCCCUAUCGACGAGGGGGUUUACGACCUCGAUGUUGGAUCAGGACAUCCUAAUGGUGCAGCCGCUAUUAAGGGUUCGUUUGUGCAACGAUUAAAGUCCUACGUGAUCUGAGU